rnacentral:rRNA from 1 species
UCCGUAGGUGAACCUGCGGAAGGAUCAUUAAAGAGUAAGGGUGCUCAGCGCCCGACCUCCAACCCUUUGUUGUUAAAACUACCUUGUUGCUUUGGCGGGACCGCUCGGUCUCGAGCCGCUGGGGAUUCGUCCCAGGCGAGCGCCCGCCAGAGUUAAACCAAACUCUUGUUAUUUAACCGGUCGUCUGAGUUAAAAUUUUGAGUAAAUCAAAACUUUCAACAACGGAUCUCUUGGUUCUCGCAUCGAUGAAGAACGCAGCGAAAUGCGAUAAGUAAUGUGAAUUGCAGAAUUCAGUGAAUCAUCGAAUCUUUGAACGCACAUUGCGCCCCUUGGUAUUCCGAGGGGCAUGCCUGUUCGAGCGUCAUUACACCACUCAAGCUAUGCUUGGUAUUGGGUGCCGUCCUUAGUUGGGCGCGCCUUAAAGACCUCGGCGAGGCCUCACCGGCUUUAGGCGUAGUAGAAUUUAUUCGAACGUCUGUCAAAGGAGAGGACUUCUGCCGACUGAAACCUUUUAUUUUUCUAGGUUGACCUCGGAUCAGGUAGGGAUACCCGCUGAACUUAAGCAUAUCAAUAAGC